UACGUAGGUGGCGAGCGUUGUCCGGAUUUACUGGGCGUAAAGGGAGCGUAGGCGGACUUUUAAGUGAGAUGUGAAAUACCCGGGCUCAACUUGGGUGCUGCAUUUCAAACUGGAAGUCUAGAGUGCAGGAGAGGAGAAUGGAAUUCCUAGUGUAGCGGUGAAAUGCGUAGAGAUUAGGAAGAACACCAGUGGCGAAGGCGAUUCUCUGGACUGUAACUGACGCUGAGGCUCGAAAGCGUGGGGAGCAAACAGGAUUAGAUACCU
rnacentral:rRNA from 1 species